rnacentral:lncRNA from 1 species
GCAAGAUCAAAAGCUCUCUGCCCUGUGAUGAGCUCAAGAAGAAACAUACCAUAACCAUAAACAUCACUUUUCUCCGGAAGAGUACCCUUGGAGAGAUACUCUGGGGCUAUAUUACCACCAAUUGUUCCUCGUAUAGCAUCUUCAACAUGUGUUACACCGUGCAAAUAGGCUAGACCCCUUGCAGCCUCCGUUUUCUUACUGACCAAUCAAGUGGAGGUUGUGACUCUUCUCCGGUCGAUCUGCAAUAACACCAAUUAAAUUUCAAACAAAAGAUUAAUUAAUGGAGGUCUACUCUAUGAAUACUUAUACAACAGUUCAAUCAAGGUUGUAUUACAUUUAUUCUUGAGGUACGCAUCGUAUAAUAUUUUCCCCCAUAUGGCGUCAAUAUUCAUGGAAUCUUUUAGAUUCCAUGAAUAUUUCUACAAAAAAACUCCAAUUUUAACUAUCAAAUGUUUUUUUUUCAAAAACUAUCCAAUGGUUAACUAUAAUAUUUUUUUUAUGGAAUUAAUUACAAUAUUUCUACACAGUAUAAAAUAUAGUUUAUUAUGAAUAUGGAUGGCAAUAUUCUUUUUUUCUUACUUCACUUGCUUUUUAUCUCAAACAUUAACCGCUCGAGAAAUUACCACUUAAGCAUGAUGCAACACUUCCGUUGGCCAUGUAGGGAUAAACGAGCAGGUUCUCUUGUUGUGUAACGCAAACGCCAAUUAAUGGGAGUAAAUUUGGAUGCACAUUAACAAUGCUCAUCGUUUCAACUUCUGUUUUCAAAUGCUGCAAAUCUGUAGGUGAGAUGUCUCGUAACUGUUUUAUAGGAAAAAUAGAAUAGGAGAAAGAGAGAAAUAAUAAUAUUACGUAAUCCCAUUAUGUUAUGGGUUGAUUACAUGUAAUAUAUAGAGAAAUAAUACGAGGUAAUAGAGUUUGACUAGGUAACUAAAUCCUAACUAAUCUAGGUAACCGAAUCAUAAUAGAAUCCUAAUAUUCUAUAAUAUCUAACAAUAUAAUAUACUCUAACACGCCCCCGCAGUCGAAACGUGACGAAUGUGAAGACUGGACAAUCACUUGCUAGCACGCUCACGCAGUCGGGACGAAUAAGCUUCAAAAGUGAAGACUGGACAAAAACCGCAAAACACAACGCUAGAGAAUUUCUCUGUGGAAAUAUCUGUCCAAUUGAUAAAAUAAUAAUAAUAAUAAUAAUAAUAAUAAUAAUAAUAAUAAUAAUAAUAAUAAUAAUAAUAAUAAUAAUAAUAAUAAUAAUAAUAAUAAUAAUAAUAAUAAUAAUAAUAAUAAUAAUAAUAAUAAUAAUAAUAAUAAACGGGUGAAAAGUUUUUUUUUUUUUUUUGUGUAUGAUUCGAGAGAGAGAGAAGAUAUAAAAGCGGAAAAAGAAUAAUUAAAAGAAGAAUAGAGAUGAGAAAGAGAGAAAGGAGAUUAACCAACUAAGAAGAAAAAGAUGUCGGAAAGAAAAAAAAAUAUAAGUUACCACCAUCGGGGGAGGGAGGAAAUUGGUUUAGUGGUCGCCGGCCAUGGAGAAGAAGAGAGGCGGCGGCUAGGUUUUAGGCCAUGGAGAAGAAGAAAGGCGGCAGCUAGGUUUUAGGCCAUGGAGAAGAAAAGAGGAAGAAGAAGAAGAAAGAGAGAAGAUGCACCACCGGGGAGGGAGAAAAUCCGGGUGGUGUUCAUAGAAGAUAGAAAAGAAAGGGAGAAAAUUCGGGUGGUGUUCAUAGAAGAUAGAAAAGAAAAAGAUAAAUAUUAGAGUACCACCACUGAGGAAGAAAGGCGGCUAGGUUUUCACCGCCAUGGAGAAGGAAGGCGGCUAGGUUAAAAAACCUAAAUCUGGUGCUCUGAUACCAUAUAGAAAUAAUAGAAUAAAGAGCCCGCAUGGGUGUAGCUCAACUGGUUCCGGAGGUGGUAAGUUGGUGUAAGGUCCUAGGAUCGAAUCCUGGCAGCCGCAGUGUGGGAAUUUCAACUCCAAAUGAGGGUUGGUUCCUUGUGGGCACUAGGUCCGGGUCCGCUACCUUAACGGGCCGUUGAGUUAACCAUGAUUUACAUCCUCCAUCAAUCCUUGUCGGACCAAGGAAUGGGGGUCCGUUACCUUAACGGGCCGUUGAGUUACCAUGAUUUACAUCCUCCAUCAAUCCUUGUCGGGCCAAGGGAUGGGGGCCCUUGGGGCGAGGGAUUCGCCUUUUGGUGUAAGAAUAGAAUAAAGAGAUAGAGAGAAAUAAUAAUACGUAAUAUAAUAGAAACCCCAUUAUGUUAUGGGUUGAUUACAUGGAAUAUAUAGAGAAAUAUUGUAAGGUAAUAGAAUUUGACUAGGUAACUAAAUCCUAACUAAUCUAGGUAAUCGAAUCAUAAUAAAAUCCUAAUAUUCUAUAAUACUCCCUCCGUCCCAUUUUAAAUGUCGUUUUUUGUGGUUACGCGUAGAUUAAGAUAGUCAAUAAAUAUGUAUAGAUUAUACCAAAAAUAGCAUAGUAAAUACUAAAAUACCCUUGUUAUUAAUUAUUUUUUAAUUAACUAAUUAAGAGUGAUAAGGGGCAAAAUUGAUAAAAAUGCAAUUAAUACCAUAUUGAAACUCUAAAAUGACAAAUAAUUUGGGACAAAAAAAACACUCCAAAAAGACAUAUAAUAAGGGACAGAGGGAGUAUCUAAUAAUAUAAUAUACUCUACCAUGUUUAUAUCUUUUAACCGCCACUAGAAUGCCAUUUGCUAACCGGCCUUUGUAGGAACUUAUACCAUAUUGAUCUUUAGAUAAGAUAUUUCUAUUCGAAAAGUUAUCUGUUACAAUCUCCAAUUCGUCUAGAGAAAAUUUGCUAACUCCUGCAUACAAGCGCCCAUUGAAUCACCAAUUAAAAUACAAAACAAGUAAUGUGGGAACAUUAUAUAUAUAUAUAUAUAUAUAUAUAUAUAUAUAUAUAUAUAUAUAUAUAUAUAUAUAUAUAUGUAUAUAUAUAUAUGGUAAAUAGCACUUAAACCCCCCCUUGGUUACAAGCUUACCUCCUUGUGCUAGUAACAUCAGCACAUAAUCCCAUUGUAGUUGAUGGUGGUAACUUCCGUUAGUUUUUCCGUCAAACUUAAUUGUAUGUGUCACGUCAAAGUAUUUUUUUUUGCAGAUGAUCCCCAUGUGCUUUUAUUUCUGCAGAUGACCCCCUUCAAAUUUGACACACGCGGUUAAGUUUGACAGAAAAACUACCGGCAGUUACCCCCAUCAACCACAAGGGAGUUAUGUGCUGAUAUUACGAGCACAACGGACAUGGGAAAAAGCUUGUAGGAACAUACUAGCAAUUAGAUUACCUGUAAACAAGUAAUGUAAUUUAAAUCCACAUUUAGAAAACUAACCGGCAGGAAUAUUAAUGAUAUGAUGUUUUUGCCGUGGUUUCUUUCCUUUGUACCAAUUAGCAGGAAAUAGCUUUCGUGUGAUAUUGGCUCCACCGGAUUUCUUGCCAACUGGAAUAAGCAACAAACAGCCAAAUGUUAUUCAUUAAAUUUUAUUUGAAAUUCCAAAUUAUAGUGGGGAAAGCCCACUAUAAAAAAAAAUGUGAAUUACAAAAAUAUUAAGGCAUCGUUUGGCUGAGGAGAUUAGCUAUUAUUUACUAAAUAAUUGGACUUUGUCUGAUGUUUAGUAUCACAAUAAAUUAUCAGACCGAUCCGUAAAUAUUAUGCUAUCACGACUUACCUUUCUUAUCUUGCCUUUCAGAGAGUUUUUUCUUUAUUUUUUUUUUAGAAAUUCUGUGGUCCUAUUUUUAACCGGGUUUAAUUCACCAAAACAUUAAAUAAAUUAGGAACCUGGAGAGACAGUAGGCGGGUUAUUAAGUUGCAGUGGAGGUGGCCGAGAUACAGAUGUAGCUACUGCCCAUCUUUUACUCCUGAAAAUUAUUGAAUAAAUAGUCCUCAUUUUUUAAUGCAAUCAAAGAUCUCCGCUUUCCAAUUAAAAAAAAAGAAAAAUGAAUAAUAAUAAAUUACUCGAGAAAUUGUUCGUUGAAACGAUCAUCGUCAUCCACUGAUGAAGCGACGGUGCUGAUAGAGUGAGAGUGGAAUAGUUCCCAAAUCUGCUGCUUCCGUACAACCGCUGUCACUAACCUCUCCCAAUUAUCCCUAGAUGAGUACAUCUCUCUAAUCUCUCUCUCUCUCUAAACUUUUCUCUCUCUAGCUUACGAUCACAAUAUAGAAUUAACUAUAUAAUAUGAAUUUUUUCAGAUUUGAUUAAUAUGUUUAAAAUGUUGUUUCGCUGAAAUUGUGUGGAAAGAGAGGAGAAACGCGUUUUCCCCACAUCAUAGUCAAGCAGAGUGGGACUACUCAUUUACUGAAUGACAUGUCUUUGCAUUGUCACAGUUGAUCUUUAUUCUUUUCCUUUUUCCUCUUUUAUUUACAUUCAAUAGAUCAACUGAAUCGGCAACGCCCAUGAUUUUUUUUCCUUUUUUUUUUUUGUUUUUUUUUUUGGGUUAAAUACAAAAACACCCUUGUACUAUGGACUUGGUAUCAUAUAUCCCCUAAACUACACAUAAAUACAAAAACCCCCCUACUGUUAUAUAUUUUUCAAAAUUUGACGACCCCUGCUUAGCCUAUAAAUAUAAGGGUUUGUUUGAGCCAUUUUCCACUAUAUUUUUUUAACAUUUUCGGUCAAUUUUACUUGGGAAAUUUAAAUAUUUUUUAUUUUUUUCUCCAAAACAUUUAACUACUUAGAUAUAUUUUUUUUAAAUUUUCUGAAUAAAACCUUUUUAUUUUUGUCAUUUUGAAUUUCUUCAUUUUUUUCUUAAAUGUCUUCCGGUAGUUCAAAUUCUCAACAAUCAUAGUAUUGUAAAGAUGGUUGUAAUCUUAGGAUGUUUGAACUACCAGAACACAUUUAAGAAGAAAAAAAAUGAAGAAACUCAAAAUAACAAAAAUAAAAGGUUUUAUUCCGAAAAUAAAAAAAAAUCUAAGCAAAUAGAUGUUUUAGAGAAAAAAAUAUGAAUACCAAAAUUUUCAACGUAAAAUUGACUGAAAAUGGCUCAACAUAUAUAUAUAUAUAUAUAUAUAUAUAUAUAUAUAUAUAUAUAUAUAUAUAUAUAUGUGUGUGUGUGUGUGUGUGUGUGUGUGGUAAAAUAUAUAUACUUGAGUAGGGGUAUUUUUGUCAUAUUUUGAAAAAAUGUAAUGUGAGGGGAGUUUUUGUAUUUAUGUGUAGUGCAGGGGGGUGUAUGAUACAAAAUUGAUAGUACAGAGGUGUUUUUGUAUUUAACCCUUUUUUUUCCAGCUAUUCAAUCAACACAGUAAUAGUUAGUAAAGUAUGAUCUUAACCAACAGAGUAAAAUAUCCAGAAAAGAAAAAUGGAAAAAAAAAAGCCGCAGCUAUUUGAAAUACUAAUUCCAAUAAGGAGACGAUCAAAUUGAAUUUUUCAAUGUAAAUACUAUCUUACAAAGAGAACAAGUAUGAAAUUAAAAGACAUCAAAAUGACAAUUAAAAGACAUCAAAAUGACAGUAUGCAUUAAUGUCUAUUUUUUAGCUAGGUGACCAUAGUUAUAGAUUCCAACAGUUUACCAAAGAACCAACACAACUAAUAUAAGAAAAAAAAAAUUGGGUAAAAUCCCCUAUAGUUACAAACUUUUGCAGAUGACCCCCUUUUGUUCGUAAUAUCAAAAUAGGGUAAAUAAUACUUAACCCCUUGUGGCUACCAGCUUUUGCAUAUGAUUACAUUGGGCUUAUAAUAUGAGAGCAUACCCCAUUGCGGUUGAUGGGAGUAGCUUUCGUUAGUUUUUUUGUCAAAAAAUUAACCGUCUGUGUAGAACGUUAAUUUUAACGCAGAAACUAAGGGACGAUACCCCUAUUAACCACGAGGGAGCUAUGUGCUAAUAUUACGAGCACAAGUGGGUCAUGUACAAAAGCUUGUAACGACAAGAGGUGGGUAGGUAGAACAAUAAGAUUUCUAUUUCUAAAUAUCAGGACUAGAGAAUAAAACGUACCAUGUAAAGUGAACCGUAGAACUUUAUUUAUGGUGUGAUUAGUAGAAUCCUUAUUAGAGUAUAACUCUAAAUAGGAUUAGUAAACCCUAAUGGACUUUUAAGAUCUUGUUAAUGGAAUUAAGCCAUCAGUUAAUGACUAUGUAAGGUGGAUCUCGGGCCUUUUAGAUGGUCCAAAUACUUUUUGGCUUAUUGUGCCGGUCCAACAAGAUAUAUCAUUUAUCCUAUAUCUUUUUAGGGUAAAUAGCACUUAACCCCUCCUGUAGUUACAACCUUUUGCAGAUGACCCCUUGUGCUCUUAAUAUCAACACAUAAUCCCCUUGUGGUUAAGGGAGUAACUUUCGUUAGUUUUUCCAUCAAACUUAACCACAUGUGUCUAAGGUGAAAGUAUAUAUUUUUUGUUUGCAGAUGAGCCCUCUUUGCUUACAUUUUCCCUUUCAUUUUUGCAGAUGGCUCCCUUAAAGUUUGAAACAUGCGGUUAAGUUUGACGGGAAAACCGACAAAAGCUACCCCUUAGACCACAUUGAUCAAUUCAACAAUGAUCCCCGUAUCCCAACUUUCAUUGAUAGUAAGCCAUCUCCGUAGUAUUAUCCUCACAAUAUCCGACAUAUUGGGUCGUCUCUCCGGGUUGUAUUGUUUGCAGAGCAGAGCUAUUUGAAUCAAUUGCUCCACUUCUUCUUCAAUGUAAUAAUUAUUACCUCCAAAAUCGGGAUCAACAAUCCUCUCCCAUUCCUUCUCCUUUACGUGUGUCUUUACCUGACAUAUAUUAUUGGAGAAGCUCUUAGUUAGUUGUUAAGGCGAUCGAAUAUUACAGCAUACUUUACGAGGCAAUUAUUAAUUAUAUAUAUGUACAUAUGCUCUCACCCUAUCAAGUAACAUCACAUCUUCGUCAUUAGCAAGCCUACCAAGAUCAAAAGCUCUUUGCCCUGUGAUGAGCUCAAGAAGGAAAAUACCAUAACCAUAAACAUCACUUUUCUCUGAACAAAUUAACCUAGAGAAAUAUUCAGGAGCUAUAUGACCAAUUGGUCCAUGUGUGUGGCCAGCUCAAAGUUACCAAUAAUUGCUUCAAAGUCCUCGUUCAAAUAUAUAUUUACAGCAUUGACGUCACGAUGGAUGAUUUUACGUUCAAAUCCAUAGUGCAAUAGGCUAGACCCUUUGCAGCCCCGAAUGCUAUCUGUUUUCUUAUUUGCCAAUCAAGUGGAGGUUGCGACUCCGGUCGAUCU